UACGUAGGGUGCGAGCGUUAAUCGGAUUUACUGGGCGUAAAGCGUGCGCAGGCGGCCCGUUAAGACAGGUGUAAAAUCCCUGGGCUCAACCUAGGAAUUGCGCUUGUGACUGGCGGGCUGGAGUACGGUAGAGGGGGGUGGAAUUCCUGGUGUAGCAGUGAAAUGCGUAGAGAUCAGGAGGAACACCGAUGGCGAAGGCAGCCCCCUGGGCCUGUACUGACGCUCAUGCACGAAAGCGUGGGGAGCAAACAGG
rnacentral:rRNA from 1 species